GAUGUCUGUUGUCUGAAGCUGAUU
rnacentral:siRNA from 1 species